ACUUUUCUCAGAAGACUUCUGGACUCUGCCAGGACUGAGGGCAAAAACUCCCAAACUCUCUCUGGAACUCCAUCUCUGCAGUUCAGCCUGAUAAAAGGAAGCAGGCUUAGAUACUACUGGGUCAGAUGUCUCUGGCGGUCAUCCCGGGGCGAAAGGAUGGGGCUGGUGAUGUUCUGGUUGAUGGGUCGCAGCACAUCAUUGGGAGAGCCUCCGCUGGAUACUGGGCUCAGCAGCUUCUCAUACAUAGACCUCAGCAGGCCUGAGGACUCCCCAAGCUCAAUGGACAGCUCAGAGAGGGGCACACCCAUGGAACGGAACCUUGGGGAUCGUGAGGGACUCAUCAGUAGCCGUCGACUCUGGUUACGGUAGCUGCUGUAGUUUUGAGGACGUGGCCACCUGGUAGCAGGCAGAGCAGUUGUCAAGUGAUGGCACCGCUGUGAUGGUGACACAGCACCGGCGUGUCUGGGAGCUGGUGCCAUCACUGCCUUCAAUCAUACUGUGGGAGAGACAAGAUCACUAAGGGGACAGGAAAGAUCAUCAUUGUGGAUAAAGUUACGAUACAAUGCCCUGAUAAAUGUGCAGUAUUAAGUCCAUUUGAGUGUGUGGUCAUCUGUGUCGCUGGAAUGGGUGUAAGAGAGCACAAAUUGACCACACUUGGUGAAGCCCAGGAACACAUGUCUGGAGGGGAGAGAGGAGGUUAGGUCACUUGGCAACAGAGGUAUGAUCAACUUUAAGCCUGUCUUUGGUAGGGAUGGCAGUUGCAGCAGACUGACCCAGCAGCCAAGGCAGAGGCAGGAGCCACCUCAGCCAGGGAGAAGGCCAAGCGGUGAGGCAGCUGGUAAAACAACUUUUGGCGAGGCCGGGAACGUGUCUGCCUUGUCUCACCAUACAGCUGCAAGCAUGAGAUGAGGCUCAGAAUCAGUUUUUGUAUUUCCUGUAAUAACUGAAUGCUUAGA